ACGGGAGGCAGCAGUGGGGAAUAUUGGGCAAUGGGCGAAAGCCUGACCCAGCGACGCCGCGUGAGGGAAGAAGAUCUUCGGAUUGUAAACCUUAGUCAACAGGGAAGAAGCAAGUGACGGUACCUGUGGAGGAAGCCACGGCUAACUACGUGCCAGCAGCCGCGGUAAUACGUAGGUGGCGAGCGUUAUCCGGAUUUACUGGGUGUAAAGGGAGCGUAGACGGCAAGGUAAGUCUGAAGUGAAAUGCCGGGGCUCAACCCCGGAACUGCUUUGGAAACUAUCUCGCUCGAGUACCGGAGGGGUAAGCGGAAUUCCUAGUGUAGCGGUGAAAUGCGUAGAUAUUAGGAGGAACACCAGUGGCGAAGGCGGCUUACUGGACGGUAACUGACGUUGAGGCUCGAAAGCGUGGGGAGCAAACAGGAUUAGAUACCCUGGUA
rnacentral:rRNA from 1 species